rnacentral:ncRNA from 1 species
AUUUUUGUAGCGAAUUUUGGUUUCGAGCAUGCGUUAGUAUUCUCGGAUUAAAAGGGAAUCAAGUGAAGAGGCAACACGCCUUCAGUCUUGAACUGUUCCCGCAACUGUAAGCAUGUGCUGCGUAUGCAGUACUUCAUUUCAAAAAUGAAUUGCUAUAACUACAUGACCACUGAAUUUUCGGGAAGGUAUAUAGCAAAUUGCAAGUCAGGAGACCUGCCACUUUUCGUAAUUAAUGU